CAGAAGUGUUGACAGAUUAAGAAAAUUAAAUCUAGGGAGAUGUCUGUUUAUGGAAAUUUUAUGGAUUAAAGUAGCAUGUUGGCAUUAAUGGAG